AACGAACGCUGGCGGCAUGCCUAACACAUGCAAGUCGAACGAGACCUUCGGGUCUAGUGGCGCACGGGUGCGUAACGCGUGGGAACCUGCCCUUAGGUUCGGAAUAACUCCCCGAAAGGGGUGCUAAUACCGGAUAAUGUCUUCGGACCAAAGAUUUAUCGCCUUUGGAUGGGCCCGCGUUGGAUUAGCUAGUUGGUAGGGUAAAAGCCUACCAAGGCGACGAUCCAUAGCUGGUCUGAGAGGAUGAUCAGCCACACUGGGACUGAGACACGGCCCAGACUCCUACGGGAAGCAGCAGUGGGGAAUAUUGGACAAUGGGCGAAAGCCUGAUCCAGCAAUGCCGCGUGAGUGAUGAAGGCCUUAGGGUUGUAAAGCUCUUUUAACCGGGAUGAUAAUGACAGUACCGGGAGAAUAAGCUCCGGCUAACUCCGUG
rnacentral:rRNA from 1 species